UAUCUCUGUAGAGUCUGCAUAUCAAUAAGCGGAGGAAAAGAAACUAACUAGGAUUCCCUCAGUAACGGCGAGUGAAGCGGGAAGAGCUCAAAUUUGAAAUCUUCAAGGUUUUACCUUGACGAAUUGUAGUUUAAAGAAGUGUUUUCUGUUGGUGUUUUGGUAAAAGUUCUUUGGAAUAGGACAUCAUAGAGGGUGAGAAUCCCGUAUUUGACCAUUACUUCCAGCGUUGUGAUACACUUUCAAAGAGUCGGAUUGUUUGGGAAUGCAGUCCAAAAUGGGUGGUAAAUUUCAUCUAAAGCUAAAUAUUGGCGAGAGACCGAUAGCGAACAAGUACCGUGAGGGAAAGAUGAAAAGAACUUUGAAAAGAGAGUUAAACAGUACGUGAAAUUGUCAAAAGGGAAGCGUUUGACACCAGUGUUGUUUUCUCGAAAAUCAAUUAAAAAGAGUUGGAUUUUGUAUUGUUAAGACCUUAUCAGCUUACUGUACUUUUUUCUUGCUCUUUUUAAUGCACUUUUCGUUUAACAAGUCAACAUCAAUUUCUUUUGUUGUAAAAGGGUCAUUGGAAGGUGGCUUUCACUUCGGUGAAAGUGUUUAUAGCCUUUGGCUUCUACAAUCGGAGAGAUUGAGGUCUGCAGCGUAGAUCCUUCGGGGUUAGAUACGUAGAUGCUAAGUUAUAGUUUUUUAUAGACAACUUGUUGACUAUGAUUAAUCAUGUAGCUUACUCGUUUACGCUAUUUUACCUACGCUUAGGAUGUUGAUCUCUCACAGUCGAGC
rnacentral:rRNA from 1 species